rnacentral:rRNA from 1 species
UUAGGAAUUUUGCGCAAUGGGCGAAAGCCUGACGCAGCAACGCCGCGUGAGGGAAGACGGCUUUCGGGUUGUAAACCUCUUUUAGCAGGGACGAACACAAUGACGGUACCUGCAGAAAAAGCACCGGCUAACUACGUGCCAGCAGCCGCGGUAAUACGUAGGGUGCAAGCGUUAUUCGGAUUUAUUGGGCGUAAAGCGCAUGUAGGCGGUUCGGUAAGUCUGGUGUGAAAGCCCUCGACUCAAUCGAGGAAGUGCAUUGGAUACUGUCGAACUGGAGUGCAGGAGGGGUGAGCGGAAUUCCAGGUGUAGAGGUGAAAUUCGUAGAUAUCUGGAGGAACAACAGCGGCGAAGGCGGCUCACUGGACUGUAACUGACGCUCAGAUGCGAUAGUGUGGGGAGCAAACA